GAUGAACGCUGGCGGCGUGCCUAAUACAUGCAAGUAGAACGCUGAAGCUUGGUGCUUGCACCGAGCGGAUGAGUUGCGAACGGGUGAGUAACGCGUAGGUAACCUGCCUGGUAGCGGGGGAUAACUAUUGGAAACGAUAGCUAAUACCGCAUAACAGUAGAUGUUGCAUGACAUCUACUUGAAAGGUGCAAUUGCAUCACUACCAGAUGGACCUGCGUUGUAUUAGCUAGUUGGUGAGGUAACGGCUCACCAAGGCGACGAUACAUAGCCGACCUGAGAGGGUGAUCGGCCACACUGGGACUGAGACACGGCCCAGACUCCUACGGGAGGCAGCAGUAGGGAAUCUUCGGCAAUGGACGGAAGUCUGACCGAGCAACGCCGCGUGAGUGAAGAAGGUUUUCGGAUCGUAAAGCUCUGUUGUAAGAGAAGAACGAGUGUGAGAGUGGAAAGUUCACACUGUGACGGUAUCUUACCAGAAAGGGACGGCUAACUACGUGCCAGCAGCCGCGGUAAUACGUAGGUCCCGAGCGUUGUCCGGAUUUAUUGGGCGUAAAGCGAGCGCAGGCGGUUAGAUAAGUCUGAAGUUAAAGGCUGUGGCUUAACCAUAGUACGCUUUGGAAACUGUUUAACUUGAGUGCAAGAGGGGAGAGUGGAAUUCCAUGUGUAGCGGUGAAAUACGUAGAUAUAUGGAGGAACACCGGUGGCGAAAGCGGCUCUCUGGCUUGUAACUGACGCUGAGGCUCGAAAGCGUGGGGAGCAAACAGG
rnacentral:rRNA from 1 species